GUAUGAAUUUUUUUUCUUCUUCUCAAGUUUUUCACGUAGAAGAGAUACCGGGUAAAUUAGAAACAUGUUUGGGAAAAGAGUGAGCAGUAAACGCUGGCAUUUAAACAACACAAAAAUGCCCACGCCAGGCCACACGCCCAGGCGGCCGCGACGCACCCGGCGGCUGCGCAGCGCCCUCUGGCGGCGGCGCGCGGGCGCGGCCGUUCCCUACUCCCACGCUCGGAACCGGGGACAGAGCUGCUGCCCCAAAUCUGAGAAACAUUGGGGCAACUUUGGAGGAAGGGGAGGGGGUCAUGGAAAGCGUCCGACGCUGAGGCCCCCUUUUUGUGGUUCCGUGGCUGGCACUGAGGCCAAGAGCCCAGGGAAGGGGCCCACGUAAAAGAAAAACCUUUGUUGCUCUUUGAAUGACCGCCUGAAAUUCUACCAAUGCAGCAUCUCCCUUAACCUGCAGGCUUUGAUUCUUUUUAAAAUUCAGGUUUCUCGAGGAGGAGGGGUGACCCUUCAAAACAAGGGCAGAUGACAGGCUCUGUCAAAAAAUUACCAACGUGAACACCAAAAAGACAUGAUUGUACCAUAAUAUGUACACUUUAGAUGGUGAGGACAUUUAGUAAGUAUCAUUUAAUCUUCCCCUCUGUAGUGUUUGUUGCCCGGCAUCCUUUGGUACUCUGAACAGCGGUGUUAUUUUAGGCUGUGCCUCCCCCAGCGGCCAUUCCCUCCAGAUCAGUUGGCUCCCGCUUUCCUUGUCCCUGGUACAUGCUAAACCUUUCUCCCUUCUGUCCACUUCUCACUCUCAGGGCAGCUCCUCUAGUUUAGGCUCCUGCAGCUUACUGUCUGGAUGCCUGCUACCAGGGAGGGAGUGGAACCCUGCCUCCCAGUGCAGGAUCCCAGGGAGAGUGGAAGGAGCUCCCCUCUCUGCCCAGCUGCAACCCUACUGUCCCUCCAAAGAGACUGUCCCCUCUUACUGCUUAGGGAUUGUCUUCCCAAAGGUAGCAGAGUACUCCUGCUUUCAGCUUCCUCACUGAUGAUCUGUAAUUUCUCUCCAGAAAAGUACUGUCAUUCCUCCACCUGGUGGAAGUGGGAAAAGGGUCCGUUCUCCCCCAGCAUCUUCCUCUGAAUCUCUUUUCCCUGCCUGAAGGAUUUCUACUUACCCAUCCUGUCUGGUGGGAAUUCCUCCAACCUCAUACCUUCCCUCUCUUCGAGGUAUUUCUUGCUGUAUUUAUUGCUACCUAACAAGUUGCUCGGUGGCGGCUUAGAACAAGAAACAGGCAUUUAUUUAUUUAUGGCUCUGUGGAUGUGCAGGUGGUUUCUAGACAGGCUCUGCGGGGCUCGCUCAUGUGUCUGUGGUGAGGUGGCAGGUCACAGGAUAGUUCAAGACAGCAGGGUGAUGGGGAUGCUCUGCCGGAGUGAAAGGGUGACAGGGCCCUGCGUCUCUUAUCCAGCAGGCUCGCCUGCUCGGGCUUCUUCCCAUGGCAGCAGGGUUCCGAGGAUGGGGAUAGCCAAAACUACAAGGCUUCUCGAGGCCUAGGCUUGGAACUGAUACAGCAAGAGCAAGUCACAAGGCCAGGUAUGUGCUCAGAGUGGACUUCAUCUCCUGAAAGAAGGCGCGACAGAGUCCUGUAGCCACGUUUGCAAACUGUCACGCUUCCCCUCUCCCUUCCUGGGGUGAGGGACCCAUAGAAGAAGCACGCCUCAGGAUAUUACGUCCCUUAUAGACUCGUUGGACAGGCAGCACAGUUCUGAAGCACACAAGCCCAGCAGUCCACACGCCCUGCCUCACGUCCUGACUCCAUAUUGAUCAGACAUGUGACCUCGGAAAGUUAUCUUUCCUCUCUGGGACUCAGUUCCUAAUUUGUAAAAAUGGGAAUUAUAAAUAUUAAAUUGAAUUUCAUCCAUACUAAGUACUUAGGUGGUGUCUGGCACAUGAUAAGUGUUAUGCCAUGAGGUGCCCACUGGCUGCCCAUCAGGACAGCUGAGGCCACCAGCACCAUCUCCCACACCAGCUCCAAAACCCCCUCCCACCACUGCCGACACCAAUAGCCCCCAGUUGGAAGCUCUGCUGGUGGCACCUGGUGUCUUUGGUGCCCCACGGAGAUGCCAGUGAAAUGGCCUUGUAGGUUUUCACGAGCUCCUUCACUGAAGCCCAUCUUUCUAGAGCUGGCUUACCUUAGCUCUUAUAGGGGUGUCUGGGGGGGCGCCAGAGUUGAUCAGGCUCAGGUCCUGAUACUGGCGUUCUGGGAUCAAGCCCCAACAGGGAGUCUGCUCCCCACCCCCCAUGCGCUCUCACUGUCUACAAAAUAAAUAAAUAACAUCUUAAAAAAAAAAAAAAUCAGCUCUUACAGACCCAACGUAUGCUUCCAGCUCUUCUUCCUGAGGGAUUUGGACAAGUGAAUUCUUCUCUCUGCAUUUCAGUUUCCUUGUCUGUAAGAUGGGGGUACCAAUGGCCGCCUACUUACGAUGGUUCAACUUAGAAAUUUUUGACUUUACGGUGGUGCAAAAGUGAUAUACAUUCAGUUGAAACUGUACUUGAGGGGUGCCUGGGUGGCUCAGUCAUUAGGUGUCUGCCUUUGGCUCAGGUCAUGAUCCCAGGAUCCUGGGAUUGAGUUCCAAGUUGGGCUCCCUGCUCUGCUGGGAAGCCUGCUUCUCCCUCUCCAGCUCCCCGCGCUGCCUCUCUUUGUCAUAAAUAAAUAACAUCUUUAAAAAAAAAAUGAAACCAUACUUGGAAUCUUGAAUCUGGAUCUUUUCCUAGGCUGGUCAUAUUCAGCGCCACUCUCGGCUACAACUCCCCAUGGGCCACGUGACCACAAGCGUCAACAGCCGACACACUUACCACCAUUCGGCACCCACCCAACCGUGCAGUUUUCCACUUUCAGUACAGUACUCGUGUGAGAUACUCAACAGUUUAUUAUAAAGUUAGCUUUGUGUGAGAUGAUUUUGCCCAACCGUAGGCUUGUGUAAGUGUUCUGAGCACAUUUAAGGCAGGCUGGGCUUAGUUGUGAAGUUCGAUAGGUUGAUGAAUUAUGUGCAUUUUUGACUUAGGAUGUUUUCAAUUUACAAUGGGUUUAUCAGGGAUUAAUCCCAUCUUAUGUCGGGGAAGAUCUGUAAUAGCAGUGCCUUCCACAGAGCAUAUAAAGAAUAAUAUGAAGAAAUUAAGAGCCUGUACUUUAAAAAUGUUGGCACCCACAGGACACAGAACCUGUGUUUUCUGUGAAAUUGCCUUUCCCAGAGGUGCUGAGAAAUGGCCAUGCACGAAUACUUUUCUCCCAAAAAAGUCCUUUGUCACUCAUAGAACCUUCCUUUCCUGAAGUCCACCAAGAUGGGCCAGGAUGCCAGGAAACCAGCCGAGCUCUUCCUACCAAUGCAGGUUUAAUGUCUGGUCCUUCCACGACACCUUCUAAGGGCCUGAUCUUUAUUUCAUUUUCAGCCUAGUAUCUCUAACCCUUGGCAUACGACUUGGCAAGGUAGGUGUUCAAUAUCUAUCUGAUGAGAGAAAGAAAGAAUGAAUGAGGAUGUAGGAGAGGAAAGACUGUCUCUCCACCCCCCUAGAUUCAACAGCUGGGUCUGUGAAAUAAAUCGGCAACAGACAAUGAACAGGAGAAAAGUUAUACACAGUUAUUUAUUUUGACUGUUACACGGACAAGGGCAUCACAGAGGGCGAAAAAAAAAGCGAACACCUGGAAAAGAGAGGACACUUGAAAGCUUAUAUACCAUCUUCGUAGAGAAGGGGAGGGAGAUGCAGGUCACUUCGGGGAGAGCAAAUGAUUUGGGGAAAGAUGAGUGGGCCCUCAGAAGGACAGAUGGGAGGUUAUGAGGGUGUGACAGCGUCUGUCUAGGGGUGCUGUGGACUUGUAGCCUGCUCUCCUGGGAGAGGAGUCAGUCUUCCCUGGUGGAUGAAGCCCCCAGGUUGGGGAUUUAGGACGAUGGAGUUCCUUUCGGAGGCUCUGUCUUUAGGCAGAUUAGGGCAGUUCAGGGAGAACCUCUCCCCACAUCUGCUGUUUUUCAAGUGCCUUCAGCUCAAAAGGAUCAAUACACCCAAGCAGCAUAUUUGGGCCGAUAUGUCCUGAACUCCUGCAAGGACUUCAUUCUGAUAGGUUUUUUCCCCCUGGGAUGAAACCAACUUCUUCUGGAUGACUUCCAAACCAAGUCGCCCUGUAACUGAACUAACAUGAGUUCGCUCCUUGGUGAGUCACAGACAGAAAUUACACCAGGUGGAGUUGUCGCACAAAGGAGACUCUAUUUGCAGCAAAUAAGGAGAUCACAGGGAAUAAUUUCCAGAGCCUUGACUCCCUGAGCAAGAGUGAAUGGGUUCCUUUUAUUGAAGUUCGGGAUGAAUAUUCAGAAAGAGGAGCCUUGUCAUUUUCCGUAGAGGGGGACACAAGAUGGUGCCGUGAACCUUCAGGAAACAGGCCUGUACCUGUCCUGUGGGUUAUGUAAAUGAGGCUUGUGCUCCUCCUUGGGUGAAGAUUUUAGUAUUAUAAUGAGGUUAAGGUAACCAUCAGUCAUUCUACGGUUCCCUCCAAGGUCCUUCUGCACAGCUGUGUGUGGGGAGUUAAGUUCAGCCUGGUCUGGGUGGUCUGGGCCUGCUGGGAUUCUCUGUCUGGGCAGCUGUUGAUGCUUGAAGGGUAGUUUUUGUUUCCAUGCCAUCAUGGGAUGCCAGGCCUCUUGGGUUUUUUGCCUGAGCAAGGAGAUAAAGAUGGAAAGAAGAGCUUAAGGAAAAAUGUGGGACAAAGGUCAGUGGAUACAAGCAGGUGAGCAGUAAAGGUCAGGUCUUAGGGUCCAGCUGGUGACGACCCAUUAGUGCAGAAGGGAAGAUGUUUCCAAGAGUUUGGAGGGAGUAGGGAAGUGCUCCUCAACCUGACCGCCAGUUAUAGUCCCUGGGGAGGCACAGGCCCACCCCCCAGAAAUUCAGCUGUAACGGGCCCAGGAGCAGCCAGGGAGUCCAGAAUUGGGAGAAAGCCAUGCUUUGUGUGCAUUCGUCAUUUUUGCCAUGUCUCUCCCAGAAUCUGAGUCUUCAAAGCUGACAGUGAAGCAUUCCAGAUUUUGUGGAUGGUUCCCAUAGAGUACAGACGACAGCAGAAAAUGAAUAAUGCUGGGCAGGGAUUACUAAGGACACCACAAAACAAGCUGCAUAACUGUUGCUGAACUCCUCUGAAAGCGAGAUGUGUGUCCAUCUGGAAACACAUUGAUUGACCCACACCCGCAUGAGAAGUGUGGAGAACAGCUGCCUCCAGGCUUCCCCGCGGCCCUUCCCAUCCCUCCUCCUGGUCCUCCCUUCUCGCCCUCCAGAGUGAGAAAGCAUCCUUUGACGGUGCUCAGCAAACCUAGAGUGGGGACAAGGGACUCGUGCAGUUGAGGAAGGAAGGGACGAAUCACAGACACUACCCUCAAGGAGCUUCUGAUUUCGUAGGGACGUACGGACAGGGAUGUAGCGUCUCCGCCCCCGCCCCCACCUCCACCCCCGCGCAAUGGCUGUAAACAGGACUCCAGGUGGUCUGCUAUCAAAUCUCAGAACUCCUCAAAGCCAUAAAACAGGCAAACACUCAAAGAAGGAUCUGUGACCUACACUCGAUGUCCAGCCUCUGGCCACAUCUGGUCCACGAAGCAUCUGUGCUGUAGGCUGGCUGGAGCCCUGGUGAAAGGUGGCUUUUCUUCCAUCCAGGCAGCUAUGAGGAAAGGUACAGCCAGGAAGUUGCCAUGCCGACGGGGAAUUCAGUUCUUAAAAUAGUCCACUGUGCUGAGGCAUUUUCGGGGUGGGUGGGUUUGGAGGGAGGGGGUUCGGGAGAGGGGUGGGGAGAGAUGAUAAACUAAUGAGUCAGACCCAAUUGGUGACAGCUGUUCUGUCAUCCCUCUGGCAAUGUGAGGUGGGAAGGGGACAGCUCUCUAAAAUGAGGUAGCAAAGAGACAUUUUCCAUUCAAAGAACAGGAGAGCUCUGUUUCCUCACACUAUUUUCCUGACAGAAGGAAAUUCCCCUCUCUGUGGGUCCACCCUGCAGAGAAUAGAUGUAGGCACGCCUCACUCACACAACGCCUGCAGGACUGGGGGACCUGUAGGAGUGGGAGGGGCAGGCUCUCUCACACGGCUGCCUCAUGGCUCUGUCCACAGCAGGCCCAAGUCUCCUCAUCAUCACAGGUAGCAUCAUCAUGGGACAGUAGGGAACAAAAUUCAUCACCCCAAAAUGUGUCUCUUCGGUACGUAGAUUAUUGUAGGCUGAUUAUUUUUAAGAAACAGAAGGCUCAGGAAGAACCUUCAACCUUCCCCUCAUGGUUUACAACAAUUUAGAUAGACAACUUCCUCCAGCAAGGGAGCUAUCACCAUAGGUAACCACAGCAUAAUAUGGACUGAAUUGUCUUUCUUCCCUUUAUAGUCCCAGAUCCCUCCCCACUUCUCCUUAACUCUGGGUGUCCUAUAAUCCUCAAUUGCCUGACUUCUUGUGGGCCUCAUUUUCCUAUGGAGACCCUUAGUAUGUACUUAAAUUUGAUUUUCUUCUGCUAAUCUAUCUCAUGUCAAUUUAAUUCAUAGCCCAGCCGCCCCCCCCAAAAAAAAUCCCUUGAAAGAUAGAGAAAAUUUUUUCUUCCGCAACAGGGCCAAAAUGAAAAUAUAUCACUAAAAAUGUCUUCUAUCCAGGCAAUCAACCAUCGAUCAACCAUCAAUUGAUUAACCAAUCAAUCAACUAUUAUUAUUUGAGCAUUUCCUGUCACUUCUCUGUUGUGCCCUCAAUGCCUGGAAGAUGAGCUGAGUACUUAUUUUUUAUUGCGGUAAAAUAUAUAUAACAUAAAACUUACUAUUUUGACCAUUUUUUAACUGUACAAUCCAGUGGCAUGAAGUACAUUCACACUGUUGUACAACUAGCCCCACCAUCCAUCUUUGGAACCUCUUUAUCAUCCCAUAUACUGAAAGUCUAUACAUAAGUCUCCAUUCUGUACCCACCCCCAGGCCCUGUCAACCACUAUUCUAUGUUCCAUCUAUACAAACCGCCUAUUCUAGGAGUCUUGUAUAAAUGGAAUCAUAUGGUAUUUGUUCUUUUGUAUCUGGCUUAUUUCACUUAGAAUAUCUUUAAGGCUCAUCCCUGUGGAUAUGCAUCAGAAUGUCAUUCUCUUUCAAGGUCAAAUAAUAUUCCAUUGUGUGUAUAGACCAUGCUUUGUUUAGCCCAUGAAUGGACAUUUGGGUUGUUGCCACCUUUUGGCUAUUAUGAAUAAUGCUACUAUGAACAUGGACGUACAAAUAGUUGUUGAGUCCCUACUUUCAGUUCCUUUGGUGGCAAAGUCCAUCUUCAGAAAGAGAACAAGGAGAAGAUUGAGAAUGCAAUCUCGGGGCACAGAAGACACUACAGCAGCAUUUUCUUACCUUUUCCAUUCCACCAUCCAAAGUCCAUCUUUGAGAAAGCCAGCAAGCCCCUUGUCUCCUGUCUUCCUCCCUCAUCCAUCUGCUCGUACUGCCUAUUGUCAUGAGGUCAUUCCCACAGGCACCUCUAGUCCCAGAUCCAUCAUCAAGGACAAUGGGCAGCCUUAAGGUUGAUGGUUAGUUCUCAUAUCUUUCAGAGUUGAGCAUUAUUAAAAUAAAACCAAUGGUAUCUUUUAGCAUGGUUUCAAUGUGUGUUUGUAGUAAAGGACUCAUUUCCCACCAGGAGCAGAGAAUGGAAAGACAUGGUGUGUGGCAUAUCACUAGCAGUUUUUUGGUUGGGAAUGGGUACAUGGUCUCAGUUAGCUCAGGCUGAAGGGAAUGAAUUUUAUUUCAUGGCUGGGCAUGGUUCUAUUUUUGCUUCGGUGUUUUGUUCUCUAGAAGUGUCCCACUUGAGGCCAAUUGAAAGGAAGCUGGGCUAUGGAUGCAGCUGACAUCUAGGAAAGAAGGCAGAACUGAGAGAAUAGCAGAAUAUGGUUCUAGCACCCUGAUCAUGCAAUGCCUGAAGCCUGAACUACCCCAGUUACCUCUGAAGAAGCUAAUAAAUCACCUUGUAUUUCAAGCCAAUUUUGGCAGGGCUUUCUAACGUUGGGGCCAAAAACAUUCUAACAGAUGCAGUCUGCAUGGUGUUAGGAUUUUGGUUUUAACCCGAAGAAGAGUGAAAUAUGUUUUGAGGUUUCUGCACAGAGAACCCAGGGAGAGGGCUCAGUCAGAUCUGCACUUCAAAGCAUCUCUUUGGAAACGGUUAGUAGGAGUUGGAGCGGUUACAGUUAGGGGCCUUAUUGUGUUAGUCCAGUCCUAGUAAAAGGUUAUAGAGGAGAGAAGAAGAGAUCUGGAAGAUUUUUUUAAAAAAUAUUUUAUUUAUUUAUUUGAGAGAGAGAGAAUGAGUGUGAGCAAGAGAGAGCAUGAGAGGGAGGAGGGUCAGAGGGAGAAGCAGACUCCCAGCUGAUCAGCGAGCCCGAUGCAGGGCUCGAUCCUGGGUUUCCAGGAUCAUGACCCGAGAUGAAGGCAGUUGCCAAGCGACAGCCACCCAAGUGCCUGAGAUCUGGGAGAUUUUAAGGAAGUUGGGUGACUUUGGCAGAAGUCAUUAAGGUAGUAAGGUUGACAAGACUUGGUGAUGGUUUGAGGGGAGAGGAUGGCCGUGUCAGGGGUGACCUCUCUGUUUGUGACUUGCUCAGCUGGAUGGAUAGGGCUGCGACCCUCAUGACAGAAUUGUUGUUGAGGAAAAAAGAUUGAACACUGACAGUGUCAGGUUGCUGGAGAAACUGGACUUCAGCGGGAGAAGCAAGAGCCAACGUUAGCUUAGCGCUAGCCGUGAACGGAGUAUGCUUUACCUGUAUAAACUCAUGAGUACAAUGGCCUCGUUGCCACUUUACAGAUGAGGAAAUUGAGGCAUGGGGAGAUUUAGUAACUUCUCUCAGGCCUAUACAAUCAGCUAGGAAAUGAGAUUUGAACUCAAGCAGUUUGUCCCCAUGAAUUUCCCAAGGAAUAUAUGCGCCAAGAAGGUUCAGAUGAGAAACAGCAGAUAAUACAGUACUGUUUUCUGGGGCCUGAGACCCCACCUCCAAUGCAGAGCACUCUAGGAAGCUGGAUUUUAAUUCCUGGCCCAGCUCCCCUUUCCUAAAUCAGUUAACACCUUGAUGGCUUCUGACUAAGCAGUCUGUAUCCAUAUCCCAGCCCCAGCCCCCUUCACAGAGCCACCUCGGGAGGCUACUUGCUUCCUCUGUGCCUGGAGCUGAUCUGUCCCUGCUGCCCAGGGACCACAUCUUCAGACUGCUGCUGUCAGCAGGGAGGAAGGGUGCCAGGCAGAAGGAAGGCAUGGGUGAGCCCUCAGAGGGCCAGCCUACCCUGCGGUCACCCAGAAAGGCAGAAAAGAGAGAGCCAUCCUGGGUGCUCCAGGUCCUUGGAAAGCACCGCCUUUCGAAGUUUGUGCGCUGGAGUCGAUCCGUUCUCGGCACCUAUAGGGAUGUACGUCUUCAUCGUGGCUUCUCUUGUUAACACUCAGUGCCAGGCAAUGUCCUCAACAGCAGCCUUCCGGUAACACAGAGUGGUUUCCUGAGCCCUGUCCUAGGGCAUCCCUCGGUGGAGAGGACUGCUGGGCACUGAGACUACUGAAUGGGGGGGAGCUGGACACAGCUCUGCACAGGACCAUUUCAUCGUCUUCUUCAUCACCGUCAUCAUAGUGUUUCAAUUUAUUAAGUGAAUCUACUGAACUUACCAUUUAAUAUCGUAACCCCAAAUGUCAGAUGGGGGCUCCCUUUCCCUUGAGAUCUAUAUGAUAGGUACACUGAUAGCCCCCCAAACACAUAGACACUAAAUUCCCAAGUCAGUGGCUAUCUAAAAGACACACCCUCCAUCCCAUUUCUACUAAAUUGAUAGCAAGGAAGAGGUUUUUGUUUCUCAUAGACUUUUCUGCCCCAUGGGCAGCGCCUCCUUCUCCUCUUCCUUCUUCUUCUUCUCCUCCUCCCCCUUCUUUUUCUUUUACGAUAUGCUUCCAUUAUAUGUAUUUUUUUUAUUAGUUUCAGAGCAGAAUUUAGUGAUUCAUCAAAAUGCAUAGAACACCCAGUGCUCAUUACAUCAAGUGUCCUCCUUAAUGCCCACCACCCUGCUACCCCAUCCCCGACACACCUCCCCUCCUGCAACCCUCAGUUUGUUUCCUAGAGUUCAGGGUCUCUUAGAGUUUGCCCCCUUCUCCAAUUUCACUUUGUCUUUCUCUGACUGGUUUAUUUCGAUUAGCAUAAUACCCUCUCGUUCCAUCCGUGUUAUUGCAAAUGGCAAGAUUUCAUUCUCUUUUUCUUAAGAUUUUAUUUAUUCAUUUGCAAGAAAGAGAGAGAGAGAGAGUGAACGAGAGAGGGGAGGAGCAUGAGUGGAAGGGAGGGACAGAUGGAGAGAGAGAAGCAGACUCCCUGCUGAGCAGGGAGCCUGAUACAGGGGUUUAUCCCAGGACCUUGGGAUCAUGACCUGAGCUGAAGACAGAUGCUUAACUGAUUGAGCCACGAAGGAGCCCCAAUAUUUCAUUCUUUUUGAUGGCUGAGUCGUAUUCCAUUCUCUGUGUGUGUGUGUGUGUGUGUGUGUACCACAUCUUCUUUAUGCAUUUAUCUGUUGAUAAACAUCUGUGUUCUUUUAUUUUUUUUUUUUUAAGAUUUUAUUAAUUUGACUGACAGAGGCAGAGAGGCAGGCAGAGAGAGAGAGAGGAGAAAGCAGGCUCCCCGCUGAGCAGGGAGCCCGAUGUGGGGCUUGAUUCCAGGACCCUGAGAUCAUGACCUGAGCUGAAAACAGAGGCUUUAACCCACUUAGUCACCCAGGUGCCCCGACAUCCAUGUUCUUUCCGUAGUUUGGCUAUUGUGGACGUUGCUGCUAUAAGCAUUGGGGUACAGGUGCCCCUUCAAAUCACUAUGUUUGCAUCCUUUGGAUAAAUCCCUAGUAGUGCAAUUGCUGAGUCAUAGGGUAGUUCUAUUUUUAACUUUUUGAGGAAGCUCUUACUGUUUUCCAGAGUGGCUGCACCAGUUUGCAUUCCCAACAACAGUGUAAAGGGGUUCCCCUUUCUCUACAUCCUCACCAACCCCUGUUGUUUCCUGAGUUGUUAAUUUUCCCAUGGGCCCCCACUUCUAAGAGUGGUUUCAUUUGUUCUGUCAAGUCAUGGCUGAUAUAGAACUCAGUGCUGCAUUGGUUUCCACAGAAGUGCCCCUCACACAGACAGCCCUGGGGAGGUAGACUCUGCUCUGACCACACUGCCUUAUUCUCCCCUCUGCAGUCCUCACUGCUGGGGACCUUGUGAAACUGAUCAGAGUCCCUGCUUGUUCUGCGGCAGGCCAGCCACAAGCCACAAGCCAGAAAAAUCCACAGUGUCUUCAGGGAGGACACUAGGCUUAAGAGACACUGAUUCAUUGAUGGCUCUUCUGCAUAAGAGAGACUGGAAAUUAUGUCAUUAGCAAAUAGUCCAGUUGAGCGUUUCCUAGGUACUGGGGCCCACAAAGCGGUGUGGUCCCUCUGCCCUGAGGGCUCACCAUAGAGGGAAGAACAGCACACACUGCUAAUGGCCAAGCAGUAGACAAAGGCAGGUAUUGCUGAAUAUGCACAAAGGGAUCCCAAAAGGAAGAGUCUCUUUUGGGAUGGCAAGGUGGGUCGGGAAGGCUUCACAGAAGACGUGACACUUGAGUGGGUAAAACCAGAGAGUCGUGGAAGUGCCUGGCCCCCUCUGAGAGUAGGGAGUGGUCAGCACAGGACAUGUGCUAAGUGCUGGGACUGGGUGGGGGGAGGGUCCAGGCUAUGCUGAAUGUGUCAUCCCUCACCCAGAGGCUGUAGGGAAUGGCUGGGUACCCAGCAAGGAUUUAGCUUGACUCCUUGUGUCCAUUCCUCCUUCUUCCACACCAGGGAGCAGCAGGGAGUGGGGCUGGUGAACAUGCUCAAGAUGUUUGCUUCCUUUAAUCAGCCCUCCUGCACGACGCUGACAUUCUGGCUCCCUGGAGUCUAAGAAGAAAGAAAAGAGUGGAUUGAAAAUGAGAAAAUAGUCGUAUGGAGGAGUAAAAAGCAGCUAGAAGUACAACACUCAUUUGGAAAUGGAAUGACACAUGAGAUAAAAAUCCUAAAUAAAUAUCUUGCAUGGUACUAAUUGCAUUUUAAAAGCUGCCACCAGAGAACAGAUAAAACGAUGUUGUAUUUCAUUAGUGGCUCCUUUAAUUCUAUGGUAUUUGCCAGCAAGCCCUAUUAAAGCACUCUGUAAUUAAAGACCAGUUCUGGGUCCUGUAAUUUAGAACAUUAUCAAAAUAUGGCAAGUGGCUGGAGGUGAAGAGAUGGAAACAAACACACUUUCAUGAGGUCCUUGUAGAUCACACAGCAUGUGAAUUUUAAAAGCUCAGCUAUUGUACCACCCCUGCCAGAAGGGUCAGUUUACAUCACUGUUUUUCAUUUGAUGGGCGAUCAGUUAUAUUUUUAUGAUCCUACAGGAAUGUGGAUGGAGAAGUAAAUGGGUUCUUUUUUUAAAUGAUUUUUUUAUUGAGAUAUAAUUCUUAUAAUAUGAAAUUACCACUUUAAAGUGUACAAUUCAUGGGUCACCUGGGUGGCUCAGUCAGUAAGCAUCUGCCUUCGGCUCAGGUCAUGAUUCCGGGGUCCUGGGAUUGAGCCUCAAAGUGGGCUCCCUGCUCAGUGGGGAGCUGCUUCUCCCUCUCCCUAUACCCCUCCCCCUGACUGUGUUCUCUCUCUGUCUCUCUCUUUCAAAUAUACAAAAUUAAAAAAAAAAAAAAAAAAAGUGUAGGGGUGCCAGGGUGGCUCAGUGGGUUAAAGCCUCUGCCUUUAGCUUGGGUCAUAAUCCCAGGAUCCUGGGAUCAAGCCCCACAUCAGGCUCUCUGCUCAGCAGGGAACCUGCUUCCCCUCCUCUCUCUACCUGACUCUCUGCCUACUUGUGAUCUCUGUCAAAUAGAUAAAUAAAACUUAACCAAAAAAAAGCAUACAAUUCAGGGGUUUUAGUGUAUUCAAAAUGUUGUACAGACAUUACCACUAUCUAAUUCCAAAAUAUUUUCACCACCCCUACAAGAAACCUAAUACCUGUUAGCAACUGCUCCCCAUUUCCACCCACCCAGCCCCUGGGCAAGCAUGAAUCUAGUUCCCUAGAAGGAACUUCUAUCAGUUCUUUGUGCAUCAUUCCAGAAAUACUGCAUCACAGAGGUUCUCAAACUUUCCUAUAGAUAAGAAUCAGCUAGAGGGCUUAUUAAAUCAAAGAAUGCUGACCAACCCCUGGAGAUUCUUCUCUGAUUCAGAGGUUCUGGAUUUGACAUUUCUUAUGAGUCCCCAGGUAAUGCAGAUUCUGCAUUCAGGGGCCGUACUCUGAGAAUGACUGUUCCAGAGUAUUCAUAGGAACUCUUUCCAUAUGUAGCCCCCCUUUCUGAAGUCACUUAGUAUCUGUUGCUGACAAUGGAAAUGUCCCUAAGACACCAUUGAUAUGGCACAAUCCCUGCCCCAGUGCCUUCUCUAUGCUGCUUUCUUUGCCUAAGAUACCUUCAUACCUGACCUCCACACAUCCGAGGCCCAGCUCAAAGGCCAUCUCCUCCAGGCAGUCUUCCAUGGUGCUUUCCCUAUAUGGAAGAAAUUGUCUACUCCUUUAAACUCCCAUAGGAAUGUUUCUCUGUAUCCUUCUAAGGGCACCUAUUAUUUACUAGAACAGAAUGCUAAAUGGGGCUCUUUCUGCUUUGUUUUUCAUAAUUUUUGUUGAAGAGAGAUUCUAAAGUGGGUUUAAGAUAUCUUCAAAUGCAGAAUAUAGGUUUCAAGACCUUUGGAGUUCCCCCGAAAGGUUUCCUGGGACAAAGCAGUCCUCUAAGCUUAGCGUGGGGGAAGGUGAGAUCAUAUGAGGGGUUGUCACCUCCUUCCCCUGAGCUCAGAGAGACUGGACUUCAGUGGCUGCUUGAGAGCUCUAGGUGUGCUCUCAACAGUUGGGAGCCUCUGUGGCCUGGAGCCAGACUCAGGCCUGUCUGAGAGAGCGGAGGUGGCCUGGACUGAGCAAGGAGGGUCAGUGUUUCUUCUAGACCAGGGAAAGUCUCCAGGGCAGCCAAUGCGGCAACAUCUGAAAUCCUACCCAAUGUGGCUGGGGUAGUAGGAGGCUGCGAGGGAGGUGAACCAGAUUCCAGGCCUACACUGUGACAGACUCCUGGGAACUACAGAGACGCCCCCAGUUUGGGGGAUCGCUGAGUAACACAGGUGAACCCGAGAGUCACCUUUAGGAACCUUCCACCCAGAGGAAGCCGAUGUUUGCCAUGAGGGCACCACCUCGGAUUUUGCUCUUUCUCCCGGCGGCCAGGGACCUCAUCAGCCGGAUCGUGGGAAGAGUGGGUGGGGAGAGCGAAAAGCUUCCCCCUGCCCCCACCACCCGUCUCCGGCAGCCAGGGAGAUGGAAGAAAAUGUAAGCCAAAGUUUGGGUUAUUAUAUAGGACUGGACAUGCCACAGACAGGAAACUGUGGUUGUGCCUGAAAGGGGCCAUUUCCUGAGAGCAGCCAGUCUGUAGCCCCGCUGGGGUUUUCGUUCCUCCGACGGUUUACUCAUGCUGGUUUAAAAGGCAAGGCACGGACACCUGGGUGGCUCAGUGGGUUAAAGCCUCUGCCUUCAGCUCAGGUCAUGAUCUCAGAGUCCUGGGAUGGAGUCCCGCAUUGGGCUCGCUGCUCAGCAGGGACCCUGCUUCCUCUUCCUUCUCUCUCUCUCUUUCUCUCU